AUACUAGUGAGUUUUGAAUCACAGUAGGUUUACACCAAUGAUCUGCUUUAAGCUCUUACUUUUUUAUGCUAGUUGUGAAUGAGCUUAUUGGAUAUAUUUAGAACGAAAUUCCUUGAUGCAUGUUAUGUAUGGAUGAUAUAGUUUUGGUGGAUGAAACCAAGGUUAAAAGCAGGGUUCGUUGAAUCGAUCGGUUUGGAGCGUGUCGGACUGUAUCAGCAGCUAACUGGUGCGGUUCGGAUGUUUGAUUUGGAACACUGGUGAGAAUGGAGCAAGUGAGAA
rnacentral:lncRNA from 1 species